AAACUAGCCUCUAAGUACGAGAGGAAAAUGGACCACUAAUAUUACGGAAAGAUAACACAGGGUCUACAAGGGGGGGCAAAAUACUUCUUGGUAUUAGUCACUCUAAGCAAGCAAAUUCUUAUCUU